rnacentral:rRNA from 1 species
CCUACGGGUGGCAGCAGUGGGGGAUAUUGCACAAUGGGGGGAACCCUGAUGCCGCGACGCCGCGUGGGUGAAGGAGUGCUUCGGCAUGUAAAGCCCUAUCGGCAGGGAGGAACCAGACUGUUACUGACCUAAAAAGCCCCGGCUAACUCCGUGCAAGCAGCCGCGGUAUGACGUAGGGGGCGAGCGUUCUCCGGAUGCAUUGGGGGGAAGGGGACCGUAGCGGGCCAGGCAAGCCAGGGGUGAAGGCCGGGGGCCCAACCCCGGGACUGCCCUUGGAACUGUAUGGCUGGAGUGCGGGAGGGGCAGGCGGAAUUCCUGGUGUAGCGGUGAAAUGCGUAGAUAGCAGGAGGAACACCGGCGGCGAAGGCGGCCUGCUGGACGGCGACUGACGUUGAGGCUCGAAAGCGUGGGGAGCGAACAGGAUUAGAUACCCUUGUAGUC